CCCCUAGUAACUGCGAGUGAAGCGGGAAGAGCUCAAAUUUAAAAUCUGGCAGUCUUCUGGCUGUCCGAGUUGUAAUCUGGAGAAGCGUUUUCCGUGUUGGACCGUGUACAAGUCUCCUGGAACGGAGCGUCAUAGAGGGUGAGAAUCCCGUCCAUGGCACGGACUACCAAUACUUUGUGAUACGCUCUCGAAGAGUCGAGUUGUUUGGGAAUGCAGCUCAAAAUGGGUGGUAAAUUCCAUCUAAAGCUAAAUACAGGCGAGAGACCGAUAGCAAACAAGUACCGUGAGGGAAAGAUGAAAAGCACUUUGGAAAGAGAGUUAAACAGUACGUGAAAUUGUUGAAAGGGAAACGCUUGAAGUCAGUCGCGUUGUGCAGAACUCAGCCUUGCCUCGGCUUGGUGUACUUUCUGCAGAACGGGUCAACAUCAAUUUUGACCCAUGGAAAAAGGUGUGGGGAAUGUAGCAUUGUUUCGGCAGUGUGUUAUAGCCUCUCUACUGUAUACAUGGGUUGGGAUUGAGGAACGCAGCACGCCCUUGUGGCCGGGGGUUCGCCUCACGUACUGUGCUUAGGAUGUUGGCAGAAUGGCUUUAAGCGACCCGUCUUGAAACACGGACCAAGGAGUCUAACAUGCUUGCGAGUGUUCGGGUGGAAAACCCUUGUGCGUAAUGAAAGUGAAAGUUGGGAACCUCCGCAAGGGGGAGCACCGACGCCCGGCCCUGACGUUCUCUGACGGUGCUGCGGUAGAGCAAGUAUGCUGGGACCCGAAAGAUGGUGAACUAUGCCUGAAUAGGGCGAAGCCAGAGGAAACUCUGGUGGAGGCUCGUAGCGAUUCUGACGUGCAAAUCGAUCGUCAAAUUUGGG
rnacentral:rRNA from 1 species